AUGUCCUUUAGAAUUUAAUUUAAGGUCUAACCUGCCCACUGAGUUAUUAAAUGGCCGCAGUAUUUUAACUGUGCAAAGGUAGCAUAAUCAUUAGUCUUUUAAUUGAAGGCUUGUAUGAAUGGUUGGACAAAAUAUAUAUUGUUUCAUUUAAAUUUAUAGAAUUUUAUUUUUUAGUUAAAAAGCUGAAAUUUAAUUAAAAGACGAGAAGACCCUAUAGAUCUUUAUAAUUAUUAAAUUUAAUUUGUGAAGAAUAUUUUAUUUUUUAUUUAUAUAAUUAUUUUAUUGGGGUGAUAGUAAGAUUUAUUUAACUCUUGUAUAAUUUAAUACAUAAAUUAAUGAUUAAUUGAUCCAGUAUUAUUGAUUAGUAAAAUAAGUUACCUUAGGGAUAACAGCGUAAUUUUUUUAGAGAGUUCAUAUCGAUAAAAAAGAUUGCGACCUCGAUGUUGGAUUAAGAGAUAAGUUUGGGCGCAGCCGUUCAAAUUUAAAGUCUGUUCGACUUUUUAAUUCUUACAUGA
rnacentral:rRNA from 1 species